CGCGUAGGCGGCUUGAUAAGUCAGGCGUGAAAUUCCCGGGCUCAACCUGGGGACUGCGCUUGAGACUGUUGAGCUAGAGGAUGGAAGAGGGUCGUGGAAUUCCCAGUGUAGAGGUGAAAUUCGUAGAUAUUGGGAAGAACACCGGUGGCGAAGGCGGCGACCUGGUCCAUUACUGACGCUGAGGCGCGACAGCGUGGGGAGCAAACAGGAUUAGAUACCCGAGUA
rnacentral:rRNA from 1 species